rnacentral:rRNA from 1 species
UGGGGAAUCUUGAGACAAUGGGGGAAACCCUGAUCUAGCCAUGCCGCGUGAGCGAUGAAGGCCUUAGGGUUGUAAAGCUCUUUCAGCUGGGAAGAUAAUGACGGUACCAGCAGAAGAAGCCCCGGCUAACUCCGUGCCAGCAGCCGCGGUAAUACGGAGGGGCUAGCGUUGUUCGGAAUUACUGGGCGUAAAGCGCACGUAGGCGGAUUAGUCAGUCAGAGGUGAAAUCCCAGGGCUCAACCCUGGAACUGCCUUUGAUACUGCUAGUCUUGAGGUCGAGAGAGGUGAGUGGAAUUCCGAGUGUAGAGGUGAAAUUCGUAGAUAUUCGGAGGAACACCAGUGGGCGAAGGCGGCCUCACUGGCUCGAUACUGACGCUGAGGUGCNAAAGCGUGGGGAGCAAAACAGGAUUAGAUACCCUGGUAGUCCACGCCGUAAACGAUG